CCUACGGGAGGCAGCAGUGAGGAAUAUUGGUCAAUGGACGAGAGUCUGAACCAGCCAAGUAGCGUGAAGGAUGACUGCCCUAUGGGUUGUAAACUUCUUUUAUAUGGGAAUAAAACGUUCCACGUGUGGGAUUUUGUAUGUACCAUAUGAAUAAGGAUCGGUUAACUCCGUGCCAGCAGCCGCGGUAAUACGGAGGAUCCGAGCGUUAUCCGGAUUUAUUGGGUUUAAAGGGAGCGUAGGUGGAUUGUUAAGUCAGUUGUGAAAGUUUGCGGCUCAACCGUAAAAUUGCAGUUGAAACUGGCAGUCUUGAGUACAGUAGAGGUGGGCGGAAUUCGUGGUGUAGCGGUGAAAUGCUUAGAUAUCACGAAGAACUCCGAUUGCGAAGGCAGUUCACUGGACUGCAACUGACACUGAGGCUCGAAAGUGUGGGUAUCAAACAGGAUUAGAUACCCGAGUAGUC
rnacentral:rRNA from 1 species